UACGGGGGGAGCAAGCGUUGUUCGGAUUUACUGGGCGUAAAGGGUUUGUAGGUGGCCCGCUAAGUCACACGUGAAAUCCCUCAGCUUAACUGGGGAACUGCGUGUGAGACUGGCAGGCUCGAGGGCAGGAGAGGAACGCGGAAUUCCAGGUGUAGCGGUGAAAUGCGUAGAUAUCUGGAGGAACACCGGUGGCGAAGGCGGCGUUCUGGACUGUCUCUGACACUGAAGAACGAAAGCCAGGGGAGCAAACGGG
rnacentral:rRNA from 1 species